UAAUUCAAUUGAGAUCUUCUGAUCUGGAUAGUGGAAUGAGUUUUCUAGUAGAUCUUAAGAACUCUCUUUAAAUCCUUCAACAAUCCCUAAACAAAUUUUAUGUGUGUAUUAUGUAUCCUGGAUAUGCUUCUCAUCAUGUAUUUAUGUAUAGUUUGAUAUAUAACCAAAUAUGAAAGAUAUUGGAGAUUUAGGAGACCUUGAGGGGCUGUUUGAUACCCAUCUGACCCAAACCGAGUCAGAUGAACAGCUUUCUCGGUCAGAUGUAUUGUGUUUGAUAGGAGCUGUCUCGGUCAGCUUGUCUGGCCCAAAUAGAUGUCUCGCUCAGAUCUGAAAAUGUUGCUGACUCGCCCAAAAGACCAUCCUACCCUCUAAUAAUUUUCUCGUGACCUAAAAAUAACGCGUCCAAAAUCAGACGCCUCCUCCACCUCCAUCGAACAGCUCCCUCCCUGUCGCUGCCAUCUCCCUUCUGGUCUCCUCUUUCCUUCAGCCGGAUCUUCUUCUUCUACAGCAGCACAUUCAGUCAGAUGUAUAAUCAAACAACAGGAUUUCUUACUCAGUCAGGAUUUCUUACCCAGACAGACCUUUCCCAGUCAGCACUUUCUCAGUCAGUAACUAUCAAAUGGAGCCUGAGUCAAACCGGGAAAUCUGUACCAACCUAAAAUUAUGAGGUACUUCCUCUUCGAACCGAAAGGAGUCAGCAUGAUCGCAGCACAUCACACUACAUUUUCCACACCGGAGAUCUUUGAGAUUUAUACUCUGAUGAUGUUUUCUUAUGACAUGUUUGACUAUUGAUACAUUGGUUUUUGAUAUGAGUGAUAUUAUGAUUGUUAUCAGACAAAUGGUUUUAUAAUUGUUUAAUUUAAAAUGAAAUUUUUGGCCUUAUAUUUUGGGAUGUUACAAAAUGCAUGACGAUGUCAAUUUACCCAAGGUUAUAUAAGUGUACCGCCUUUAAUACUGAAAGUUGUUGCAUCUAAUUAACGAUUUGUGGAUUUGGCAUACGUUCUUUUGGGUCGUAGGGUCCAAUAAUAACAUAAAUAUUCUUCAAUGUUCUCCAAUUUUCAAUGAUAUUCUGACCGAAAAAGCAUUUGAUAUGUCUUUCAUAGUGAAUGGAAAAGAAUACAAACAUGGUUACUACCUUUGUGAUGGAAUAUACCCUGAUUACUCUAGU